AUAUCCCCCGCAGCCAGUGUUCGAACUAUCUCCGAUAUUAUCGAAAUAUCUCCGAUAUUAUCUUUAUCUCCAACUCAACAAUACCGAUAACACUGGUAGCGAUACCGGUAACGCUGGUAGUAUCAGAAAUUUCAGUUAUCAGCGAUAUUAUCGGCGAUAUCGAUAUUGUUUCCGUAUCUCUAGCCAGCGAAACUUGUAGCGAUACCGAUACUUCGAACACUGCCCGCAGCAAC